UUCUUGACAAUCUAAACUGUGGCACCAUAAUUUGAUCAGUUCUACCUCAGCUUUCAUUUCAUCUUCUUCCAGGAUCAUCCCAAGAUGAGAUGUGUAGGAGCAUGAGAAUGGUGAGGACACCAGCACUCUCUGCAGCCUCCCCUUUUUAAAACCAGGAAGCAGAUAGGAGAGGAAGGACAUAAACCUCUCUUACCUUCCCAGGAUUGGAAAGCUCUAGCAAAGACUUUCUGUGAGGUGUCCUACCUGCUUGUCCUGCAUGUAGUCAACGGAGACUCCAUGUGCUUUAAUUGUCCCAGCUUCUGAGCCAAGAAACUCCAUGGUUUCCUGUUGAUUUGGGCUUUACUCCUGCACAGAUUACCUGAACCUUCCCAACCUGAUGCUUGCAUGUCAGUGAAGUCGUGUAAAUAAGAUAUCAGGCAUGCUGUUUCUUCUGGCACAUGCAAGGCAUAAUGAAGAUGGCAACAGACCUUGGAAGCCUAACAGCAGCAAUCUGGCUUGCAGAAAUAGAAGUGUGAGUCACUUCUUUAGAAUCCCCAGUUCUGCACACUCACAAACUGACACAGAGAGGUACCUUCAGCAGACAUCUGAGUGUGCGCUCAGGGUUAUCCGAGAGAGCACAGGGUAUAUCCUGGGUGGUUCUCUCUGCCUUCUAUUCAAGGAGAUAGGGGAAGAAAUAGCCAUAUGCCCAUGGCGUGGCUAAACUCUAUAGGCAUAAUCAAAAAUGUCACACAGGAUGUUAUCUAGGUUUCCUGCCUUUUUUUCAUGCAUGUUGCUGCAGCAGCAGAUUCAGUGUUUCUCUACAACUAACAAAGAAAAUUUAGACAAAGGUAUCUUAGGAUCAAAUAUACUAAUCCAGGAUCCUGGAUGAGGGAUGGAUUUCUUCUCUAUUGUCCCGGUGGGGAAGACUAGAUACUGAAGAGACAGACAUUCCUGCAGUGGGUGUGUUGAGGAAAAAAUUGGCCGUCAGACACAUUCAGCUGAUGGAGUUACAUGUCACACCCAAAGUGUAACACUGCCCAGUGCUUGCCUCGAGGUCUUCCACAGUAUACAGUCUCCUGAUUUUACUUCUUACGUACUAUGGAAGAGGCAGAGGAGUCCUCUGGGACUGAGCACACCUUUUCUACCUGCACUCUGGCAGACAACUCCAGCCCCAGGGAGCCCAGGAGGUCCCUCACUGCGGGAAAAAAUAGUGAUAAGAGGAACCAAAGGGAAUGAAUCUUUGAUGAUGUCCUUGUCACUUGAAACCAUUCACUGGAACAAGGAGAAGUCACCUGUACACCCUUGUUUUUUUCAUAGGAGACAUCUGUAACAAAGAUGCAAACUGGUUUAUUCACAUCCUGGAAGUCAGCAUUGACCAGCUGGUUACUGAGCCACUGUUUCUACACAGACAGAGCCACAUGCCCUCCAAGUACUUCAUCUUUUCUUACCCCUUAAUUGGAAAAAAUGUUGAUGGGAUGACACAUAAUCAGUAAUUUUGUCUUACUAAAGACAAGACAAAUGACUGCAGCAUCUUAGCAUGAGAUUUGCUGUUGCUGUGGAAUCACUGUGGCCACUGAUUUGUUGCUUCAGUUGAUGCUUUCUGACCUUCCGCAAGUAAUGCAUUAUUUCACUUAAGCUUCAAACGUGAAGCAAUAUGGUAAUCUGCUAUUGCUUCAGCAAGUUUUCUGAUUAUCGACCUUGAAGUAUGCAUACAAGCUAUCAUUGUUUUCAUCAUUUUGUUUUCUCAUUCCCACUGGUGGUUGACGCUAGCUCCACUUGAAAACAAGAUUUUCUUGACUGACUUUAAUUUAUGACCUAGCUACACUCAUUUUAAGCUUGCUCAACUUCCUUCAAGGCAGAGUCACUUAGCAUUAGCAUCACAGGUAACUCUUCUUUCCUAAGCGUGUUAACUUGGAAGAUUUUAUGGAGACUUUUUCCUGCAUAAUUUAGAACUCGUGAAAAAUGAAAAAGAUAUAGGCUAAAAACAGGACAUGGAAAGCUCAGAGCGCAUUCCUAUGCACGAAAAGUACUGGGGGAAGCUCCAUAAGACUGCAGGAGUGCCACAGUUAAUGCAGAAAUUUAAUUACAGUCUGUGCUUCCUAGGAGUGAAGGGGACUCUCAGGACUUCACACAGCAUGGCAGCAACAUGGGGGAAAAGGGCUACAGUGCAGAAUGCCCUAGAAAACCAAGAAAAUGCUCUGAAACAGCACUUAAGGGAAACAGAGCUCCUAAAGGAGGAUGUAGAAAGAACAGACAGGAAAUGUGAUCCCUCCAGCAGCCUGGGUGGAUGGAAAUCCUUGGGUCUCUCACCACAGAGCAUCCUCUCUGGGUCUUAUUCACUCUCAGUGCUUUUCCCUGUUCCAUCUUCACUGCCCCAGCAUCACACUGAGAGCAGUACGGCUACUCAGAGCAGCAGCCACUCCAAGAAGAGCCUCAUUAGUAUCAAACACAGUGCCAGAAUGCGCCUUGUCAUUGCAGGUGACUUUUUGGCACCGCCUCCCGUGGCUUUCUGCUCAGAUGUGACCAUGGAUAGGAUCUUCACCUCCACACAGCUGAGGGUCCUGUGGCAUUCCUGGUGUGUGGAAGAGGACAGGAAGGCCCCAUCUGCAGGGAUGUUUUCAAUUCUCCCUGACUUUGGUCAAGACUGCAGAACUCAUAGAUCCUCUUGCUCUAAUCAGAGAGGCCUUGUGGAGCUGUUUAUCUACCAAAUUUCCCAGCACCUCUUUCCACUGGUUACUUUCUUGUCUGGUAUGCCUGGUUUAUAUUUGCACCCAGGUACAUCAUCUUAUAGUUGGCUUUUCUGAGUUGCACAGUGCUUUUCCACGGAGCCACCCAGAGCAAUCUGUAUCACCAUCUGUCUCUCUUCCAAUUCUUCCUCUUUAUCUCAAUUGGAAGUUCUUUUUGCAAUGUUGUUUUAUCAGUUUUGUUUUAUCAGGCCAUUGAUCAAAUUAUAAAAUGUCAGAAAGCUCUGUAGAAGUACACUUAACUGGUAAGUGCUCAUAUGCAAUUUCAUUUGUGACACACUAGAGUACUUAAUCUAUUUAAUGUUUUGAUGGGCUAUUGACACUUAAAUACAAAUAUCAUAUGAAUCCAAAUACAAUAUCUCUUUAUAUCAGCACCUACGCUGCAAACACUCAACAAGCAAUCUCAAAAAACAAAACUAAAUGAAAAAACAGCCUACUUUGGAAAGACGUAUGUACAGCAGUUCUUCGCAUCUUGGCUUACAUUAUAUUACCAUCUCUCAGUUUUUGAUUCACUGAAAUCUGCAUUAAUGUUACUUUUCCUAAGAUGAAGAUCAGAAUGCGUCCUAGACUUACUUGUCUGCUUUACACUUUUAAUUAUUAGCUCAGCUAUGGCACUAUCCCUCUUCUUUGGAAUUUUUCCAGUGCCCCAGAAGGUAUUCAGAGUCAGUUUUGUUUAUUUACAAGUUUUUAUGGGUUUUUUGUUUUAAGUGUUCAGAUAUAAAUUGUCUUGAUUUACUCAUUUCCUAAAGGCUUCUUAAUAGCUUCGCUUUUGUAUUAUCUUCUAAGAUCUUUCAAGAAAGAGUGUUUCACUGCCAUUAUCAAGCAUGAGUUGUUAUAAAAAACAUGUACCUGUCAUUUGUGAUAGUCCAUAAUAAUUAUUGACAGUUUCUCUAUUUCAAAACAGUUUUAUCAGUUACUUCUGUUCCUGCAUAUCUGCUGUUACUCACAUUAGGUUCUUUCUUGUGCUCUUUUCCUUUCCCUGAUAGUAUUUUACAGUAUAUUGGCCUCCUAGUUACAUAUGCAUUGUGAUCAUUUUUCUCCUUCUCUUUGAAUUUUGUCACAUUUCAUUUUCCUUCAUAAAUUUGUUUUAAAAUCAAUGUAAAUUUCUGUUUUGAACAUAGAUUGCUGUUUUUAAGCUACAGAUGUUUGUUAGUAAGUCUCAAUUGUUUAAUGGUUUUCUAUCAAUAAUUGCUCAAUGAUUUGCCUUACAAUUAUUUUCAAGAUCGAAAAACAGUCCUCUGCAAAGUUCAUACAGAAGUAUGUAUUUGUUUUUUUUAUAUUUUUAUAAUGCAUAUUUUUAUAUGCAUAAUGCAUGUAAUGCAUUAUGCAUGUACUGCAUAAUGCACAUUUUUAUAUGCAUAAUGUAACACAUACAUGGAUUUGCUUAUAUACAGAGUGACAAAACCGUGUAUCCUGAUCACACAAGAAUAAAUAAUCACUAACUCACAACUUCUUUUGUCAUUUUUCCUUACCUGAUAACAUGAGAGGUCUAAUACAGAAUUUUCUGUCCUGGAUGUAAACUUUUCUGAGGCAUCCUUAAAAUUCUGGGGUCUCAGAAACAUUAUCAGCAUGAGACCACCAAAAAGAGACAAAGAGUUCAUUGAUCACAGGACAAAUGAAAAAAUUAUGACUGUCUUUUUUCUUUCUUUAGUGGAAUUUGAUCAGUUCUGGAAAUGGUCCUGGUUGGCAAAGUCAGUAGGCAUGUAUUUAAUGUUCGGCAUACAGUGAAGCACUUCACAGAGUAAGCCUGAAUUGAAGCACAUCUUCAAAAGAUUUCCUGGUACCUCUAGCAUCCAUCUGAAAAAAAAAAAGGCAGUCAGAAAAAUAUGGAA
ensembl:lncRNA